rnacentral:rRNA from 1 species
AUGAUUUUUUUGUUUGCUGCAUUGAUCUUUUUUCUUCUUCUGAGGAACCAUUUUUCAUUUUUGCUGGAACUAUAUCAAUUUUUUGUUGGAACCAUGUGUGCUUUUUGCUGGAACCAUAUCAAUGUAUUUCGCUGGAAUCAUAGCAUUUUUGCUGCAACCACAUUAUUAUUUGCUGGAACCAUAUUAAUUAUUUGCUGGAACCAUGUGUUUUGCUUUCAAGCUGGCGUUGCUUUGUUUUUUCUGCUGCAACCGACGAGCAGCGAUGCCGACGGCGAGCGACGAGCGUUGGGGAACCAGCGGAGCUUCCAGGUCGGGCGGGCAUAA